ACUACGAGUAAAGAUGCUCGUUACGCGCGGCAGGACGGAAAGACCCCGGGACCUUUACUAUAGCUUGGUAUUGGUGCUUGGUUCGGUUUGUGUAGGAUAGGUGGGAGACUGUGAAGCCCUCACGCCAGUGUGGGUGGAGUCAUCGUUGAAAUACCACUCUGAUCGUACUGAGUGUCUAACCUCGGACCGUGAUCCGGUUCAGGGACAGUGCCUGGUGGGUAGUUUAACUGGGGCGGUUGCCUCCCAAAGGGUAACGGAGGCGCCCAAAGGUUCCCUCAGCCUGGUUGGCAAUCAGGUGUCGAGUGCAAGUGCACAAGGGAGCUUGACUGUGAGACCGACGGGUCGAGCAGGGACGAAAGUCGGGACUAGUGAUCCGGCACUGGCUGGUGGAAGCGGUGUCGCUCAACGGAUAAAAGGUACCCCGGGGAUAACAGGCUGAUCUUGCCCAAGAGUCCAUAUCGACGGCAUGGUUUGGCACCUCGAUGUCGGCUCGUCGCAUCCUGGGGCUGGAGUAGGUCCCAAGGGUUGGGCUGUUCGCCCAUUAAAGCGGUACGCGAGCUGGGUUUAGAACGUCGUGAGACAGUUCGGUCCCUAUCCGCCGCGCGCGUUGGAGACUUGAGGAAGGCUGUCCCUAGUACGAGAGGACCGGGACGGACGAACCUCUGGUGUGCCAGUUGUCCCGCCAGGGGCAUGGCUGGUUGGCUACGUUCGGAAGGGAUAACCGCUGAAGGCAUCUAAGCGGGAAGCCUGUUCCAAGAUGAGGUCUCCCACCACCUUGAGUGGUUAAGGCCCCCAGCUAGACCACUGGGUUGAUAGGCCAGAGAUGGAAGCCCGGUAACGGGUGGAGUUGACUGGUACUAAUAGGCCGA
rnacentral:ncRNA from 1 species